CUCUGAAAAACAUUUCAAUUAAUCUAUAUUCAAAUAUAUAUGGUAAAAUAUCUACGACCAUUUAUUCCCAUCGUAAAUGAUCUAAAAACUCCUUUAAACAUGGUACACAUUCACCGACAAUGGUACACUUUCUUGUAUUUGUUGGUACAAACUAGUUUUACAAGUGGCAGCCAUGCAUGCGAGCUGCCCACUCGAUUGUACAGAUCAGUCCAAGCGCAGCCAUUUUUAAAGUGAAGUGCUUUUUUUGUUUUGCGUUCUUUGUGUAAAUUUAUAUUUUUUUAAAUUGUUCCACGGGACUUUUAAUCCAAGCUGCAUGCGUUAAUCCACAGCAUGCACGUCACCUAAACACAACUUCUUGGCAAAGCUUGGCGAAGAGAAACAUCGCCAAAUACGCUCUGACUUUCCAAUAGCUUCGCUCACGCUCUCGCACUCUCCCAUGCGCUCAGUAGUGUGUGACGCGAGAGCGCCAAGCACACGCACACCAAUGCGGCUUCUUAUCAAACCAACAGCCAGCUGGAAGCAGACAGGCACAACCAGUCGGGACUCGCCUAUAAGGAUAACACGGGAGCAGUAACGGCAGCAGCGACAGCAGCAGCGACGGCGACGCUUCGCACUUUAUAAGGUGAAAUACGAAACUGGAGCAGUUCAGUUCGCAGUUGGCUGGCGUCGCAGAAGGUUGCACUAGCAGUAGCAAAGCGGAGAGGCAAAAUGUAAUCGCAAUCAACAGCUCCAAUAAGUUUUUACAGUGUGGAGAUGCUGACGAUGAUGAUGAAUAAAGUGACUAAAUGAAUGGCCAUUGUGAGUGCACUCACAUCAGUUCAAAAAGUGCGCGCUGUGACAACAAGUGAAACAAAAUUCAAAACUAAAGUUCAAUUGAAAUAAAUGUUAUUGUAGCAGCAGCAGCAGCAGUAGCAGCAGCAGUUGAAACAAUUAAAAACAAAUUGGCCAAAA